rnacentral:rRNA from 1 species
AGCAGUAGGGAAUCUUCGGCAAUGGACGAAAGUCUGACCGAGCAACGCCGCGUGAGUGAAGAAGGUUUUCGGAUCGUAAAACUCUGUUGGUAGAGAAGAACGUUGGUGAGAGUGGAAAGCUCAUCAAGUGACGGUAACUACCCAGAAAGGGACGGCUAACUACGUGCCAG